AAGACCUUGCGCUUUUGGAGCGGCCGAUGUCUGAUUAGCUUGUUGGUAAGGUAAAAGCUUGCCAAGGCUUCGAUCAGUAGCUGGUCUGAGAGGACGGCCAGCCACACUGGGACUGAGACACGGCCCAGACUCCUACGGGAGGCAGCAGUGGGGAAUUUUGGACAAUGGGGGCAACCCUGAUCCAGCCAUGCCGCGUGAGUGAAGAAGGCCUUCGGGUUGUAAAGCUCUUUCAGCCGGAACGAAACGGUUACGGUUAAUACCCGUGACUACUGACGGUACCGGAAGAAGAAGCACCGGCUAACUACGUGCCAGCAGCCGCGGUAAUACGUAGGGUGCAAGCGUUAAUCGGAAUUACUGGGCGUAAAGCGUGCGCAGGUGGUUUUGUAAGUCAGAUGUGAAAUCCCCGGGCUUAACCUGGGAACU
rnacentral:rRNA from 1 species